AUGUUCGGAUGUACCGAUCCUGCCAAAUUGCAAAUGUUAUUUGCACCUUGUCUAUACCAGAACCAAUGGGGAGGACAGCCUCACUUCUCAACUAGGGGUGGUAUUUCCUCCAUAUUGCUGUGUUCUGGUUGGCUUGGUGGUAUUUCCUCCAUAUUGCUGUGUUCUGGUUGGCUUGGUGGUAUUUCCUCUAUAUUGCUGUGCUCUGGUUGGCUUGGUGGUAUUUCCUCUAUUGCUGUGCUCUGGUGGCUUGGUGGAUUUUCUUCCAUAUUUGCUGUGUUCUGGUUGGCUUGGUGGUAUUUCCUCUAUAUUGCUGUGUUCUGGUUGGCUUGGUGGUAUUUCCUCUAUAUUGCUGACACCUUAUCCUUCCUUUCAGAUCUACACAAGUGUGGAAGGAUUAGAGGUGGUAGAAGGUUUCAGGCCCAUACACACUGUAACCACACAUUUACACAUACGUCCCACAAGAGGGCGCCUCAGGACCAGCAGAAGAACAGGACUUCACACGCAGUAGGAAUCCAGAGCAUCAGCUUUGCCUUUUAGAUCAAAAUGAAUACGAUUCUAUGGACAGGACCUGAUCCUAGAUCAGGUUUAUGAAUACAUGCCCUGAUUUAACCUGAUUUUAUAUGGACAGGACCUGAUCCUAGAUCAGGUUUAUGAAUACAUGCCCUGUCAUUGCUCUGUCUCUCUCCAGGACCUUACAGCCCCGAUAGGGGAGAACUGCACCAUCGAGCCCAACGUGACCAUCGGGGGCGGUGCUGAAUGAACGGGGUCAGAAAAAAGAGGUGUACGAUACUGAAAGGGUCAAGGGUCAGGUCACACUCCUGGCUAGAGUCCUGGGUCGUAGGGUGGAGCUCCUCCGUAGGACAGUGGGUGAACAGAGAGGAGACACACUCACUCUAAUCCAUUUUUGUUUGAUAUGGUCAUAUCAUAAAGAUUUUUAAGGUGAGUAGAGGACAUUCUACUGCCUCAUCAUCACGGUGCUCUGAUGGGAAUACAUAGUGCAACCUGGAGGUAUAUAUCAUCGCACAGUACAUGACACAAUGGUGGUAGUGUACAAAACAUUUAAGGACACCUUCCUAAUAUUGAGUUUCACCCCUUGUUUUCCGUCAGAACGGCCUCAAUUCGUCGGGGCAUUGGACUCUACAAGGUGUCGAAAGCGUUCCACAGGGAUGCUGGCCCAUGGCGACUCCACUGCUUCCCACAGUUGUGUCCAGUUGGCUGGAUGUCCUUUGGGUGGUGGACCACCCUUCUUGAAACACACAGGAAACUGUAGAGUGUGAGAAAUCCAGCAGCAUUGCAGUUCUUGACCCAAACCGGUGUGCCUGGCACCUACUACCAUAUCCCGUUCAAAGGCACUUAAAUAUUUGGUCUUUCCUAUUCACCCCCUGAAUGGCACACAUACACAAUCCAUGUCUCAAUUGUCUCAAGGCUUUUAAAUGCUUCUUCAACCCGUCUCCUCCCCUUCAUCUACACUGAUUGAAGUGGAUUUAACAGGUGACAUCAAUAAGGGAUCAUAGCUUUCACCUGGAUUCACCUGGUCAGUCAAUGUCGUGGAAAGAGCAGGUGUUCUUAAUGUUUUGUCACACUAUACAUACAGCAUGUGAGCCAGGUCUGAUUGAUCUAUAACAGUAUCGAGCCAAAUAAAACUGAAAAUAUUAUAUAUGUCUGUGUGUCAUCCCUGAAAGCGCUUUCUGUCCCUCAUUGUUCUUGAAAUCAUUUUGAAAAUAUUUCCCGUAAUGUCCAGUAUGUGACCCCAGGUUGGGGAGUAACCAGGUCGGGGAGUAACGGGACCCCCGGGUCGGGGAGUAACCAGGUCGGGGAGUAACGGGACCCCCGGGUCUGGGAGUAGCGGGACCCCCUGGUCGGGGAGUAGCGGGACCCCCGGGUCUGGGAGUAACGUGACCCCGGGUCUGGAGUAGCGGGACCCCCGGGUCGGGGAAA
rnacentral:lncRNA from 1 species